AUUGAGGUGGAGCAACAAGUUACUGUAGUUACUUUGUUUCGUCCUCAAUGUGUUACAUUCCGAGUGCGAGCGGAUCGUGGACUUUGUACAGUUAACAGUGUCGUUUGAGGAGGUUAUUGGAGCGGAAGAAGUGAGAAGAAUACAGUACUGAGUGAUAGGCUCCGGGCCACUGUGACCCUGACUUGGAGAAGCGGAUUCUGGUCGAGCGAGAACAAGAACUGCAGGACUGUACCUCGGAACGGCAUGGUGGUGG